GGGGAAUAUUGCACAAUGGGCGAAAGCCUGAUGCAGCAACGCCGCGUGAGUGAUGAAGGUCUUCGGAUUGUAAAGCUCUGUCUUUUGGGACGAUAAUGACGGUACCAAAGGAGGAAGCCACGGCUAACUACGUGCCAGCAGCCGCGGUAAUACGUAGGUGGCGAGCGUUGUCCGGAUUUACUGGGCGUAAAGGGUGCGUAGGCGGAUGUUUAAGUGAGAUGUGAAAUACCCGGGCUUAACUUGGGUGCUGCAUUUCAAACUGGAUAUCUAGAGUGCAGGAGAGGAGAAUGGAAUUCCUAGUGUAGCGGUGAAAUGCGUAGAGAUUAGGAAGAACACCAGUGGCGAAGGCGAUUCUCUGGACUGUAACUGACGCUGAGGCACGAAAAGCGUGGGUAGCAAACAGGAUUAGAUACCCUGGUAGUCCACGCCGUAAACGAUGAGUACUAGGUGUAGGAGGUAUCGACCCCUUCUGUGCCGCAGUAA
rnacentral:rRNA from 1 species